AGUGAACGCUGGCGGUAGGCCUAACACAUGCAAGUCGAACGGCAGCACAGGAAAGCUUGCUUCUUAGGUGGCGAGUGGCGGACGGGUGAGGAAUACACCGGAAUCUGCCCAGUCGUGGGGGAGAACGCAGGGAAACUCACGCUAAUAUCGCAUACGACCCUCGGGGGAAAGAGGGGGAUCGCAAGACCUCUCGCGCUUGGAUGAGACGAUGUCGGAUUAGCUAGUUAGCGGGGUAAUGGCCCACCAAGGCGACGAUCCGUAGCUGGUCUGAGAGGAUGAUCAGCCACACUGGAACUGAGACACGGUCCAGACUCCUACGGGAGGCAGCAGUGGGGAAUAUUGGACAAUGGGCGCAAGCCUGAUCCAGCCAUACCGCGUGGGUGAAGAAGGCCUUCGGGUUGUAAAGCCCUUUUGUUGGGAAAGAAAUCUUUCAGGCUAAUACCCUGGGAGGAUGACGGUACCCAAAGAAUAAGCACCGGCUAACUUCGUG
rnacentral:rRNA from 1 species